rnacentral:rRNA from 1 species
GACGAACGCUGGCGGCGUGCUUAACACAUGCAAGUCGAACGGAAAGGCCCUGCUUUUGUGGGGUGCUCGAGUGGCGAACGGGUGAGUAACACGUGAGUAACCUGCCCUUGACUUUGGGAUAACUUCAGGAAAGUGGGGCUAAUACCGGAUAGGAGCUCCUGCUGCAUGGUGGGGGUUGGAAAGUUUCGGCGGUUGGGCUUGGACUCGCGGCUUAUCAGCUUGUUGGUUGGGUAGUGGCUUACCAAGGCUUUGACGGGUAGCCGGCCUGGGAGGGUGAGCGGCCACGUCGGGCCUGAGCUGCGGCACAGCCUCCUCUGGUACGCAGCGGUGGGGAAUAUUGCACUAUGGGCUGAACCCUGAUGCAGCCACGCCGCGUGCGGGAUGACGGCCUUCGGGUUGUAAUCUACUUCCGUCUUUGACGAAGCGUGAGUGACGGUACUGGGUAAAGAAGCACCGGCUAACUCCGUG